rnacentral:rRNA from 1 species
CAGUCGCCGCGGGAACACGAAGGGUGCAAGCGUUACUCGGAAUUACUGGGCGUAAAGCGUGCGUAGGUGGUGGUUUAAGUCUGUCGUGAAAGCCCUGGGCUCAACCUGGGAAUUGCGAUGGAUACUGGGCGACUAGAGUGCGGUAGAGGAUAGUGGAAUUUCCGGUGUAGCAGUGAAAUGCGUAGAGAUCGGAAGGAACAUCUGUGGCGAAGGCGACUAUCUGGGCCAACACUGACACUGAGGCACGAAAGCGUGGGGAGCAAACAGGAUUAGAUACCCCGGUAGUCCCUGUCUUUUAUAC